rnacentral:rRNA from 1 species
GAUGAACGCUAGCGGGAGGCUUAACACAUGCAAGUCGAGCGGGAUUAGCAGCAAUGCUAUGAGAGCGGCGCACGGGUGCGUAACGCGUAUGCAACCUGCCUUAUACAGGGGAGUAGCCCAUGGAAACGUGGAUUAAUGUCCCAUAGGAUCACGGUAUCGCAUGGUAUUGUGAUUAAAACUGAGGUGGUAUAAGAUGGGCAUGCGUCUGAUUAGGUAGUUGGUGAGGUAAUGGCUCACCAAGCCGACGAUCAGUAGGGGUUCUGAGAGGAUUACCCGCCACACUGGUACUGAGACACGGACCAGACUCCUACGGGCGGCAGCAGUGAGGAAUAUUGGUCAAUGGUCGGAAGGCUGAACCAGCCAUCCCGCGUGCAGGAUGACGGCCCUAUGGGUUGUAAACUGCUUUUGUACCUGAAGAAACCUGGUUACGUGUAACCAGUUGCCGGUAAGGUAUGAAUAAGCAUCGGCUAACUCCGUGCCAGCCGCCGCGGUAA